UGGUCGGGAUAGCUCAGCUGGUAGAGCAGAGGC
rnacentral:tRNA from 1 species